rnacentral:rRNA from 1 species
CUCGCUGUUGGCGAUAUACUGUCAGCGGCCAAGCGAAAGUAUUAAGUGAUGCACCUGGGGAGUACGCCGGCAACGGUGAAACUCAAAGGAAUUGACGGGGGCCCGCACAAGCGGUGGAGCAUGUGGUUUAAUUCGAUGAUACGCGAGGAACCUUACCAGGGCUUAAAUGUAGUAUGACCGGCUUAGAAAUAGGCCUUCUCUUCGGAGCAGAUUACAAGGUGCUGCAUGGUUGUCGUCAGCUCGUGCCGUGAGGUGUUAGGUUAAGUCCUGCAACGAGCGCAACCCCUAUUCUUAGUUGCCAGCGGUUCGGCCGGGGACUCUAAGAAGACUGCCAGCGCAAGCUGAGAGGAAGGUGGGGAUGACGUCAAAUCAUCACGGCCCUUACGUCCUGGGCUACACACGUGCUACAAUGGUAGAGACAGAGGGCAGCCACCUGGUGACAGGGAGCGAAUCCUUAAACUCUAUCUCAGUUCGGAUCGAAGUCUGCAACUCGACUUCGUGAAGCUGGAAUCGCUAGUAAUCGCGCAUCAGCCAUGGCGCGGUGAAUACGUUCCCGGGCCUUGUACACACCGCCCGUCAAGCCAUGGAAGCUGGGGGCACCUGAAGUCGGUAACCGUAAGGAGCCGCCUAGGGUGAAACUGGUAACUAGGGCU